rnacentral:rRNA from 1 species
GAUGAACGCUGGCGGCGUGCCUAAUACAUGCAAGUCGAGCGAACGGACGAGAAGCUUGCUUCUCUGAUGUUAGCGGCGGACGGGUGAGUAACACGUGGAUAACCUACCUAUAUGACUGGGAUAACUUCGGGAAACCGGAGCUAAUACCGGAUAAUAUUUUGAACCGCAUGGUUCAAAAGUGAAAGACGGUCUUGCUGUCACUUAUAGAUGGAUCCGCGCUGCAUUAGCUAGUUGGUAAGGUAACGGCUUACCAAGGCAACGAUGCAUAGCCGACCUGAGAGGGUGAUCGGCCACACUGGAACUGAGACACGGUCCAGACUCCUACGGGAGGCAGCAGUAGGGAAUAUUCCGCAAUGGGCGAAAGCCUGACGGAGCAACGCCGCGUGAGUGAUGAAGGUCUUCGGAUCGUAAAACUCUGUUAUUAGGGAAGAACAUAUGUGUAAGUAACUGUGCACGUCUUGACGGUACCUAAUCAGAAAGCCACGGCUAACUACGUG